rnacentral:rRNA from 1 species
UACGUAGGUGGCAAGCGUUGUCCGGAUUUACUGGGCGUAAAGGAUGCGUAGGCGGACAUUUAAGUCAGAUGUGAAAUACCCGAGCUUAACUUGGGUGCUGCAUUUGAAACUGGGUGUCUAGAGUGCAGGAGAGGUAAGUGGAAUUCCUAGUGUAGCGGUGAAAUGCGUAGAGAUCCGGAGGAACCCCAGAGGCGAAGGCGGCGCCCUGGCUCGCAACUGACGCUCAGACACGACAGCAUGGGGAGCGAACGGG